UUGGUAAUGAAAUUUUUAUAUUGUAACUAUUUUUCUUUCUCAUUAUUCUAGGUUGGCAUAUCGUCCGGCGCUAACACAGUUGCAGCACUUAGAUUGGCUAAUCUGCCUGAGAACAAAGGCAAACUUAUUGUGACUGUUCAUCCAAGUUUUGGCGAACGAUACCUGUCAUCUGUCCUGUUCCAAGACCUUCGGACAGAAGCUGAAACAUGCAACCAGUUUCGGUUGAUUAAGCUGAAAACUACUAGAAUGCUUUGUUGUGGCGUUACAUGGAUCUACUUGGUUGUGGAUGUGGUAACAAAAAAUGUAAUUUUCAACUUAUAUUCUACCAUAGCAAAAAAUGUAGAUUUUGAUGUAAUAAGAAAUCAUCUUAUUUGUCACGGGAUUAACCAAAAUUAUAACACAGGUAUCAUUUUCUUGUACUGCUAUA